rnacentral:ncRNA from 1 species
GGGUUUUAUUGGUAAACCACUUGAAAGAGUGGGACACAAAGCCGUGAGCCUACAUUCCAGAAUAUUUUCUGGAACAAGGCUGUCUGGUUGCCCUA